AGUGAACGCUGGCGGUAGGCCUAACACAUGCAAGUCGAACGGCAGCACAGUAAGAGCUUGCUCUUACGGGUGGCGAGUGGCGGACGGGUGAGGAAUACAUCGGAAUCUACUUUUUCGUGGGGAUAACGUAGGGAAACUUACGCUAAUACCGCAUACGACCUACGGGUGAAAGCAGGGGAUCUUCGGACCUUGCGCGAUUGAAUGAGCCGAUGUCGGAUUAGCUAGUUGGCGGGGUAAAGGCCCACCAAGGCGACGAUCCGUAGCUGGUCUGAGAGGAUGAUCAGCCACACUGGAACUGAGACACGGUCCAGACUCCUACGGGAGGCAGCAGUGGGGAAUAUUGGACAAUGGGCGCAGGCCUGAUCCAGCCAUACCGCGUGGGUGAAGAAGGCCUUCGGGUUGUAAAGCCCUUUUGUUGGGAAAGAAAAGCAGCAGGUUAAUACCCCGCUGUUCUGACGGUACCCAAAGAAUAAGCACCGGCUAACUUCGUG
rnacentral:rRNA from 1 species